UACGUAGGGCGCAAGCGUUGUCCGGAUUUAUUGGGCGUAAAGAGCUCGUAGGCGGUCCGUCACGUCGGCUGUGAAAACCCGAGGCUCAACCUCGGGCCUGCAGUCGAUACGGGCAGACUAGAGUGCGGUAGGGGAGACUGGAAUUCCUGGUGUAGCGGUGAAAUGCGCAGAUAUCAGGAGGAACACCCGUGGCGAAGGCGGCUCUCUGGGACGGUACUGACGCUGAGACGCGAAAGCGUGGGGAGCGAACAGG
rnacentral:rRNA from 1 species